rnacentral:rRNA from 1 species
UACGUAGGGUGCAAGCGUUGUCCGGAAUUAUUGGGCGUAAAGAGCUCGUAGGCGGUUCGUCGCGUCGGCUGUGAAAUCCCGAGGCUCAACCUCGGGUCUGCAGUCGAUACGGGCGGACUGGAGUUCGGCAGGGGAACACGGAAUUCCAGGUGUAGCGGUGAAAUGCUUAGAUAUCUGGAGGAACACCAGUGGCGAAGGCGGUGUUCUGGGCCUGUACUGACGCUGAUGCGCGAAAGCGUGGGGAGCGAACAGG